UCUCUCAUAUUAUUUUUAUUCUC
rnacentral:snRNA from 1 species